AUCUCUACUUGGAAAUUAUCUCCUUUGGAACGUUUGCUGAGCUCUGAUCCUUGGAAAGGGCUAUGUUCCUGUUUGUUCUACCCCUAAAAACAAACCCUGGAAGCAAAAGAAAAAAUAGGAACAUUCAAGUCUGAAGGAUGACAAAUGAAAAUGCUAAGAAGUGGGAUGAAAGAGAAGGAAGAUAUGGUCAUAAAUGUGGAAAUAGUGAAGGAUGUUGAGUAAGACAUCACAAAACCUUGCUCCCUUCCCUGAAAAUCCAAUAAAGAAGUCCAAAGUUCUUGACUGGGGACAGACGCGAUUCUUAUAGUCUCUAGGAUCUUCCAUGCACUCUCAUCACUCUCCUUUUGGUGAAAUGAAUGACCAGUUGGGCUACAACCAGGAAAAAGUUAAAGAGAAGGUCCCAUAACUUGGCAGAAGAUCAUAGGAGAACACAUAUUCUACUGUAAUCUUACAGAUAUUUAGGCAGUUCUUCUAUCUUAUCAUCCCUUUAAAACUUCAUCAACAAUAGAGGUAGAAGAUUAGCAAAUUUUUCUGAGUAAAAGAAGUUUCUUCUUCAAUAUCUGUGAUGUCAUUUGUGAUAGCAAAUCAGACUUUCUGCAGAAAGGAGAAACUGGUGUUCCUAGAGAAAUAUGAUUGUCAUUUAUGCUUCUGGAUGUGUCUCUAUCAGCCAAAUCUUCUUCCAGGUUUCCAGUUAUAAAUUCAAGCCUUGCAUUGGCAAAAGAUAGAAAUGUGGGCCAAUGCAGAUAGGUAACUCCAUGACCAUGUGCCAAAACACCAAUAGGUUUUUGAGUUUUAGAGUUUGCAUCUACAGAACCUUUUUAAUAGGCUUAUUCAUCUCCAGCAUAACAACAUCAACAGAUGAUCUGCCUCUGUCACAUUGAGCAGAAACUGCCAUAUAGUUCAGUCUCGAUAUGGUGACAGUCACAUUCUAGUGAAUGGACAAUGAAUGCUCACAGGGUAAGCUGGCUCUGUAAGUCAGAAAAGCCCUGCAGAGCUCUUCAGUAAACUCCUAUUCACAUCUUGAAAUCUGAGGCUGUUGAUGAAUCUUUCUUUUCCCUGAACCUCAAACACAAAAAUAUGAAGUAAAGAGGCUCCCAAGAAAGUCCCUUGUGAAUCAGCACCUCCAGAUGCUCUGCUUCCUCUUGGUUCCUUUCUUCUCAUUCUUUUGUUGGUGCAGCUGCAGCUGGGAAAGAAAAGUAAAUGUAACUGCUGCUGCUGCAAAAAUUGCAGCCAGAAAAUAUUCAUUACUGCAGCAAUUGCAAAGUUGCAGCUGUCCAGAUAAAUAUAUCUAGCUAUGUUCAAAUCAAAGCACUACAACGACAGAUGGUUUUCCCCUAAUUAGAGCUGCCAUAUUUCAAGCUAGGACUUUUCAGAAGGAAACAGUUAGCUGUAAGUGAGUUAACAUGCCCAGAAUUCCUGGACAAGUAAUAGUGCACAAAAUCCCGAAGUGUGAAACUUCCAGCUGGAAAAGACACAGUGUCAUGGAAAAUCUAGACAUAUGGUAACCUUUUCUCAGAUGUGGCUUAGGAGUUUAAAAAAGAACCUGUCUAUCCAGAAAGAGAUGGAUUAUGGGCUGGAAGAAACAAAUUAUGGGAUUUUCAGAAUUUCCCCCCAGCUGCAAAGCAUAAUGGCUUCUAGAUGGUUUGCAAUAAAUAUGAUGUUAUUCAUUUAAUUGGGCAUAAAGCCUGAAAACAACAUAAAUGACUGUAGGAUACUAUUCACAGUAUUUAGAGCUUCCCUCUCCCACUGUGGGAAGUGAUUAACUGGUUGCAUUCAUCCCAUCUGAUGUUAACUAUCUGAAACUUAUCUUUCUAAUUACAGCUGGUCCCUUACUACUCAACAUUCAAAGUAAAAAAAAAAAUAUUUCCUUAAGAUGAGGAUCUAUUCUAUUCUAAAAUAAGUGCCUGAAACAGAAGAGGGAAAUUUCCCCACUCUCUUUUUAAGAGUGCUUUAUACAUGAAAAUUCAUGUAAUAGAAUAACAUUAAUUGAUCUGUCUUAGAACUAAUCCCCUUUAUCUAGACAAAUCUUUCAAAUUUUUAACUGCUAUAUUCUUCAGUUCAGUGACCAUAUUACAUAGGGAUCUUUCUAGCAAAGCUUCCAAAAUCAAUUAUGUUUACACUUCUGGCAGUGAUGGUAAGAAUUGCCACACUCCUCCGUUAACACUGGCUACUCUUCCUUUGCCUAAAUUUCAACAACAAAAAUAGAAAUGACCUUCUGAAUAAAGAAAUUUGUACGGAAAAAUACUCUCUGGAACUGCUAUUAUGGUUGAGUUCCUCAUAGUAGAUAGCACCUUAGUGAAAUAAGAAGUGACUACAUCAACUUCAUCCUUUGGGCUGAGAAAGAAGUUGAGCUGACAUUGAGUCACUGAAAUAUGCAGUGAAUCAUUUUCUUCAUAGUGACUGAUUUUCUCUUAUGUGUGUAAAAUUCAUUAAACUUUUUUGUGAUCAUAGUAAUAUCUCUUAAGAUUUCUUCCUUUAUCAGUCUCUCUUAUUCAUGUUAUCUUUUAGUCUCUCAGUGACAAAAACACAAAGCAGAAUAUUGAUAACUUUCUAGAACUUUGAGUAUUUUGUUUUUCACUGAUGAAAUUCUAGUUAGAAAUGCUUAUGUAAAACUGCACAUUUUAUUAAUGAAAGCUUUCAAAUUCCUGUCUCUAGAUGUCUUUGUUGUUUAAUUUAGUGCAUGUUUAUAUAGAGAGAAAUUAGCCAAUUUCUUAACAGACUUCUUGUCAUGGAUUUGUGUCACUCUGAGGUUUAAUUAAGAAUAUGAAUAUCUACAAUUGGCAGAAUAUACACAGCCUCCCUUUCUGGGUUAAGGGUUCUGCUCCAGAAAACAAUCUUCAGUUUUGUCUGGGCAUGUGACCAGUCUUUAUAAUGUGUUGGCUGACAAAAAGAAACUUCAGUACCACUGUUUUCCAAUGUCUAGAGUUAGCUUGAAGUAGUUGUUCUGCAGGAGUUUGAAUGCUGCCUUUUUGUUCAGUAGUAUAUUCUCACGAAAACAAAACAGUAGUUGUAGUUUCAAUUACACUUGCUAUUUCACUGCUAAACAAGUGCUGAGUAACAGCCCUUCAU
ensembl:lncRNA